AUGAACGCUGGCGGCGUGCCUAAUACAUGCAAGUCGAGCGAACGGACGAGAAGCUUGCUUCUCUGAUGUUAGCGGCGGACGGGUGAGUAACACGUGGAUAACCUACCUAUAAGACUGGGAUAACUUCGGGAAACCGUAGCUAAUACCGGAUAAUAUUUUGAACCGCAUGGUUCAAAAGUGAAAGACGGUCUUGCUGUCACUUAUAGAUGGAUCCGCGCUGCAUUAGCUAGUUGGUAAGGUAACGGCUUACCAAGGCAACGAUGCAUAGCCGACCUGAGAGGGUGAUCGCCCACACUGGAACUGAGACACGGUCCAGACUCCUACGGGAGGCAGCAGUAGGGAAUCUUCCGCAAUGGGCGAAAGCCUGACGGAGCAACGCCGCGUGAGUGAUGAAGGUCUUCGGAUCGUAAAACUCUGUUAUUAGGGAAGAACAUAUGUGUAAGUAACUGUGCACAUCUUGACGGUACCUAAUCAGAAAGCCACGGCUAACUACGUG
rnacentral:rRNA from 1 species